UACGAAGGGGGCUAGCGUUGUUCGGAAUUACUGGGCGUAAAGCGCACGUAGGUGGACAGCUUAGUCAGGGGUGAAAGCCCGAGGCUCAACCUCGGAAUUGCCUCUGAUACUGGCUGUCUGGAGUUCGAGAGAGGUGAGUGGAAUUCCUAGUGUAGAGGUGAAAUUCGUAGAUAUUAGGAAGAACACCGGUGGCGAAGGCGGCUCACUGGCUCGAUACUGACACUGAGGUGCGAAAGCGUGGGGAGCAAACAGG
rnacentral:rRNA from 1 species